rnacentral:rRNA from 1 species
AUUGAACGCUGGCGGCAUGCCUUACACAUGCAAGUCGAACGGUAACAGGUCUUCGGAUGCUGACGAGUGGCGAACGGGUGAGUAAUACAUCGGAACGUGCCUAGUAGUGGGGGAUAACUACUCGAAAGAGUGGCUAAUACCGCAUGAGAUCUACGGAUGAAAGCAGGGGAUCGCAAGCCCUUGUGCUACUAGAGCGGCCGAUGGCAGAUUAGGUAGUUGGUGGGAUAAAAGCUUACCAAGCCGACGAUCUGUAGCUGGUCUGAGAGGACGAUCAGCCACACUGGGACUGAGACACGGCCCAGACGCCUCCGGGAGGCAGCAGUGGGGAAUUUUGGACAAUGGGCGCAAGCCUGAUCCAGCAAUGCCGCGUGCAGGAUGAAGGCCUUCGGGUUGUAAACUGCUUUUGUACGGAACGAAAAGCCCUGGGUUAAUACCCUGGGGUCAUGACGGUACCGUAAGAAUAAGCACCGGCUAACUACGUGCCAGCCGCCGCAGUAACAC